rnacentral:rRNA from 1 species
GACGAACGCUGGCGGCGUGCUUAACACAUGCAAGUCGAACGGAAAGGCCCUGCUUUUGUGGGGUGCUCGAGUGGCGAACGGGUGAGUAACACGUGAGUAACCUGCCCUUGACUUUGGGAUAACUUCAGGAAACUGGGGCUAUUACCGGAUAGGAGCUCCUGCUGCAUGGUGGGGGUUGGAGAGUUUCGGCGGUUGGGGAUGGACUCGCGGCUUAUCAGCUUGUUGGGGGGGUAGUGGCUUACCAAGGCUUUGACGGGUAGCCGGCCUGAGAGGGUGACCGGCCACAUUGGGACUGCGAGACGGCCCAGACUCCUACGGGAGGCAGCAGUGGGGAAUAUUGCACAAUGGGCGGAAGCCUGAUGCAGCAACGCCGCGUGCGGGAUGCCGGCCUUCGGGUUGUAAACCGCUUUCGCCGGUGACGAAGAGUGAGUGACGGUAAUGGGUAAAGAAGCACCGGCUAACUACGUG